CUAAAAUACGCAAGUCGAACGAACUUCCGUUAAUUGAUUAUGACGUGCUUGCACUGAAUGAGAUUUUUACACGAAGUGAGUGGCGGACGGGUGAGUAACACGUGGGUAACCUGCCCAGAAGCAGGGGAUAACACCUGGAAACAGAUGCUAAUACCGUAUAACAGAGAAAACCGCCUGGUUUUCUUUUAAAAGAUGGCUCUGCUAUCACUUCUGGAUGGACCCGCGGCGCAUUAGCUAGUUGGUGAGGUAACGGCUCACCAAGGCGAUGAUGCGUAGGCGACCUGAGAGGGUAAUCGGCCACAUUGGGACUGAGACACGGCCCAGACUCCUACGGGAGGCAGCAGUAGGGAAUCUUCCACAAUGGACGCAAGUCUGAUGGAGCAACGCCGCGUGAGUGAAGAAGGGUUUCGGCUCGUAAAGCUCUGUUGUUAAAGAAGAACGUGGGUGAGAGUAACUGUUCACCCAGUGACGGUAUUUAACCAGAAAGCCACGGCUAACUACGUGCCAGCAGCCGCGGUAAUACGUAGGUGGCAAGCGUUAUCCGGAUUUAUUGGGCGUAAAGCGAGCGCAGGCGGUCUUUUAAGUCUAAUGUGAAAGCCUUCGGCUCAACCGAAGAAGUGCAUUGGAAACUGGGAGACUUGAGUGCAGAAGAGGACAGUGGAACUCCAUGUGUAGCGGUGAAAUGCGUAGAUAUAUGGAAGAACACCAGUGGCGAAGGCGGCUGUCUGGUCUGUAACUGACGCUGAGGCUCGAAAGCAUGGGUAGCGAACAGGAUUAGAUAGCCUGGUAGUCCAUGCCGUAAACGAUGAUUACUAAGUGUUGGAGGGUUUCCGCCCUUCAGUGCUGCAGCUAACGCAUUAAGUAAUCCGCCUCGGGAGUACGACCGCAAGGUUGAAACUCAAAAGAAUUGAAUGCCCUU
rnacentral:rRNA from 1 species